GCUAAUGCCGGAUAGGCAACUGGUAGGCAUCUACCGGUUGGGAAAGGUGCAACUGCACCGCAGAUGGAGGAGCCCGCGGCGCAUUAGCUAGUUGGUGGGGUAACGGCCCACCAAGGCGACGAUGCGUAGCCGACCUGAGAGGGUGACCGGCCACACUGGGACUGAGACACGGCCCAGACUCCUACGGGAGGCAGCAGUAGGGAAUCUUCGGCAAUGGGCGAAAGCCUGACCGAGCAACGCCGCGUGAGCGAAGAAGGCCUUCGGGUUGUAAAGCUCAGUCACCCGGGAAGAGCGGGCAGGAGAGGGAAUGCUCCUGUCGAGACGGUACCGGGAGAGGAAGCCCCGGCUAACUACGUG
rnacentral:rRNA from 1 species